AUCCACUACGACCCCGGUCAGUCGUCAAGACGCAGCCGCGGCGUGAGGUGCGUCGCUCCCGUGUAGCAAUUUGGAUUUGGAUCUGGCAGCUCUGCACGCACGUCAGUCACGCACCAGCCCCGGCUGACAACGUGUCACCAUGCUUGACUGACAGACAGGAUGACAGCACAGGAGCCUCAGUGUUGCAGGUGCCGUCAGCCCUGGGGUCGUGCUGGCCCCUCUCCACGCUACUGCUUGAUGGUCUUGUCUUCAUUCUACAGUAAACUACACUAACUUGUAGGGAUCAGAAAAAGAGAGAAGUGAAGUGAUAUACAAGAUAAAGUACCACUGACCAUUAUGUGGUACAAAGGAUCGGCUCCCAUAGAAGCUGCAAGAAUUCACGUGUCGUCAAUUGUGUAUAAACUCUGGAGUGAUAAACUAAAAUUAUCGUUUUGCUUAACAGAUACAAUGAAGCAAUUUCAGAGGAUUAUGGCUCUGUUAUUUGUGGCUGCAGUGAUAUAUUUGAUGUAUCAACUGAACUUGAAAAGAUACUUGUGGCGCAAACAGUGGAAAAAUCCUCACCCAUUGAUUGAAGAAUAUUCUGUUUGGCCGUUGUUCAGCAGUAAAAUCAAACGCUCGCAGCAAUGGUAUACAGUUGAAUGCUUUGGUGGGAACUUCUCGGACGAUCUCGAGGAAAUAUUUGGUAGCCUUAUCUCAGCAUGGUCCGAGUCUGAAAAUGCCGAAUGUGCAGAUAUCUACCAGAAGUUUCUUACAUUGUACGAGGUCCAUGAUCGCUAUUCUGGCAAGAUAAGUUUACCUGCACCCUUUGCCAAGAGAGUUAGUGAAUGGAUGAAAGGAGACAAGACCUUGUUAAAAAAUAUUCACCACCAGCAUUUGAUCCAUGUGUUCCAUCCUCUGACAUCAGAGCACGUGGUAUACAAUCCAAUACGGGCUAAGCGCCCGUUGUCAGAAUCGAAGAUGAGCAUCUUUGAAUGGGUAGAUAAAACCAGUACAGAAACGGCCAAAGAUUGUGAUUUUUGUAAAUACAACAAUAUGACAGCAGUUGACGAAUUUGGAAGGCACACGUCAAAAGAUACAGUACGCAUGACAAAUACUUUCAAAGUGGAGGCAUGGCACAGUAUGGUGAUUACAAGGCAUUUGCAUCAUCCAACUAAUCUGUCUAGGGACUUGCUUGUCAAGUUCUUUCAAGAAGCCACUACAUGGUUGAACGACGUGAGCAAGAAGGAUGUGCACUACAUCUAUCCCAACCUUGCCUGGGAUACAUUGUUCCAUGCAGGAGCCUCUCAGAUCCAUCCUCAUGUCCACAUGAUGCUGGCUCCUGACCACUAUUAUGGCUUCAUGGAACUACUUCGUUUGGCUUCUCAGCGCUAUUUCCUUGCUAAAGGAGAAAACUACUUCAGUGCCGUGCUGGAUGUUCACGCUGCAUUGGGACUGGUGGUGGAGUAUGGAGAUGCAGCAGCUAUUGCAACACUAACUGGGAAAGCUGAUCUGGAGGUGAUGUUCCUAAGUGAUUAUCCAGGAGAUGAUUUUUAUCGCCUCAUUUACUACACUGUCCAGGCCUACCAUGAUACUUUUCAACAACUUUGUAAAUCGUUGGGAGGAGCAUGGCCUGCACUGGGGACAUCCGAACAAGCCUCCAAAGGUCGGAUCCCAGCUGUAGCCCGUCUAGUAUCCAGAGGACAUUGCUCUUCAUUACGAGCAGAUUACAGUUCUUUGGAAAUUUUUCAGGUUGUGUAUCGCCCGCAUGACCCAUGGCAGGUAGCUGCAGCUAUAAGAAAGGCCAUCGAAAAGUAUGGAUAAUUGAAAUGGCGAGUCGAGGAUGCUUGUUACGUGUUGCUGGCUGAGUCAAGUAGGUCAUGGUGCUGAAGGCAGCCAGAAGCUAAUGUGGCUGCUACAAGAACUUCUUAUGUUGGUACAGGAUCUGUUUCCAAGGCCUGGCUGAAAGCAGUUGUUCUUCCCAUUAAAAAAAGAAAAGAAAAAAAACUGACAUCUUGCCUGGGAAUUUUUACCCCAUGAGCCUAAGCAAUUGUCUGCAAGCUCUUAUGAAUAUAGUGUAUGUCCGAGUGUGUGAAUAACUUGUUCCAUAUAUGUAUUUUUUAGAAUGUAAUCAUUGCCCCCUGUCUCGAUUUGUCUUUUACAAUUAUUGCAGCAUAACUAAGAUUUUGAUGGAUUUACAGGUUUAUAUCCGUUAAAUCUUUCCAGCAAAUAAUUCUGCCAUAGAAAAUCUUUUAGUUCAUGAAAAGCUUGUGACAUUGCCCGGAGAUAAAAUGCAGUAUUUUUUUUUUUAGGCCAAAUUACAUUUUUUGGGCUUCAUGGCACAUUGUCACUCUUUAAUGCUUCCUCUCCAGUCAUCUGUUUAAGGUUCUCCCUUGGGACUAUUCUUUCUGCCUCAUAUUGCCAAUGUGAAGGCAUUCUGCAUGAUGUUUAAACCACUACUCGUUUUCCUGGUUGCCCUUAAUAGUCAGUCUCCUCACUCCCACCUGGAGAGAGAGGAGGAACAACUUUGAUAAAGUAUUUGUUGUUGUGGUAAUGAUUUUUCCCUUUUCCCUGACUACAGCUUGUGAUAGCAUGAUGGCUACAAAUCAUGGCUUCAAGUGCUCUAUAAAGAAAAAUUGUGGUGUUACUUUUACUGGAAGGCAUGUCAUUUUCUAUCCACCAUUAAAAUCCACCUAUGUAUGUACUAGGACAGUAUUAGGAUAAAGUAAGACUCCUGGGAUUGAUCUUCAACACCCGGCUGUUUUGGCUAUCCAGUGUCCAUUACCUCCAAGGUCCUUACUCAGUCUUGUCACAUACCUUCUGGGGAGCAGAUAAAGUAAAGUUGUUUUUUUAGAAAUCAAUACUCUAUUUUUACAAAACAGUCACCAUCGGAAUUACCUGUGAUAUUUUCUUUGGUCCCUCCAAAAGCCCCAUUCAUACUUGUAUCAUUCCUUGACUGCUGCCAAAAUUGAAAGCCCUGCUCAAUCUCUUAAAAAUUUUGAUUGCAUAGAUAUCCUGUUUUUAGACUUCUGUGCAUGUCUGCAAUGUGCCUCUUCAUAUUGUUUCCUUGCCCCCUGCAAAGGGUUACCUUUUUCACUGCCAUUUUUAUCCCUCUAAUGUCUGUGGAUGAGUUGAAGUCUGUUGGUUAUUUCUCCUGGUCAUAUCUAUAUGUACCACCUCUUCCCUAGAGAUUUAUUGCAGACCUUUGUGCUAAUUUAUACAUACCAUGGCAGUUAAUUUUCAUGCAUUAAUGAUUGUUAUUAUGGUCGAAUCAUUUGCUGUCAUGGCCCUGAAGUCUUUUAACCCUUCACAUUCUCUUGCUGGCUGUAAUUCAACACAUGUUUCUUGGUUUUUAGGAGAUACAAGACAGUAAAAUUUUGCUGGGUUUCUAGCUGCUUUUCAGAUGCCAUUUCUAAAGGGCAUUAUUCAUACUUUUCAUAGUUCAGUAUAGUAUAUAGUAUACUAUAUUCAUAGUAUAUUGCUUCUAUACUUAAAUUUUUACUGUCAUUCAUAACACAAUCAACAACCAUUGGAUAGGUGGUUAGGUUUUGUGAAUAAAUUGUUUACUAUUAAAUUUUACCAACCCCCCCAGGUCCCGGCCUGAUCAGAGACCGGGCCGGGACCUUGACCCACGGAAUCACCUUGUGGUGAUUCCGUGGUCAAUAUUGUCAAUAUUGUCCGAUACCCAUAGCUUUCCUCCUACCACUACAACAGGUAGUGAAAAACGUCUCUGGUUAGGCUGUGUCACAUGUGAUUGACUCCUGGGCAUUUAAUGGCAUCAAGACCAGCAUCUUACUGUCCAGAAAUGUUGCCACUGACAGUUAUGCACUUCAUAGAAUGUCCUUUGUUUUCAGUACUUUGAGUCUUUUGUACAUCAAUAAAAUCUUUGGUGAAUCUUAUAACUUUGAAAUCACAUGUAUUACUGUAUAUUUUCUUGCAUCUUGUUUAAUAUUCUGUGACCAGUGACAGUCUUCCAGGCAUGGCAUUUUCUUUUAAUAAUUAAUUUAGAUGUUAUUCAGUAUGACAAUGAAAGCGAAUAAUGAUAUUAGGAGGAUUGUCAAAGGAGACACAUUCACAAAAGAAAACUAGUAGAUCCCAAUUAGAAUGCUGUGUAAAUGUUUGGACAUCAGAACGUUUUGUUGAUCCUGGCUACACCCCUGUGUGUAAGGUCCAUAAUAACUUAACUGUUCUUGGUGAAUAUUUUAUGCUCCAUGUGAUAUCAAAGUUAUUUCUUGUAAUUAUUCCAAUAAAAGAAAUUAUCACUUCUUUGUGGUGAUUUGUAAAGGAUCAUUGUUAAAAUAAUAAAGGGAUAUACAAAAAAAACACUAUAUUAAGCAAUAGA
rnacentral:misc_RNA from 1 species